CCAGUCCCACGUUUGGUGGGGCCCGGACGAGGGAGCCGUACCCGGAACGCGACAAGACGGCCAUC
rnacentral:ncRNA from 1 species